ensembl:lncRNA
CCAAUUGUACCAUAUGAAUUUAUUUUCAUCUUGAUUUUUACAAAUAAAUUUUUAUGAAACAGGGAAGUUUAAACAUUGAACAUAUGAUAUUAAGAAAUUAUUAUGAACUUUUAGGUGGGAUAAUGGUAUUAUGGUUAACGUCUUUUAAGGAAGCCAUAUCUUUUAGGAACACGUGCUUAAAUCCUUUUGGGUCAAAUGGUGUGAUGUCUGGGAUUAGCUUCAAAAUAAUCCAGGUGAAAAAAGGUAGGCGUAAGGGCCUAAAUGAAAUAAGAUUGGUCCUAAGUUGACAAUUGUUCAUAAUAUUAUUCUGCUUUUGUAUAUGUUUGAAAUUAUCCAUAAUAAAAUGUUUUUCACAAAAAAGAUGGUUUGUCACCACUGAGGAUAGCAAAUCAAGACAUAAUUACAAAAGAGGUAUUUGAAAAUGUCUCAAGCAAUAGCAGUAUCCUUAAGAUACAUGAACAGAUUCCCCAGGUGAAUACUUUGAAGGAAACAACACUCGUUUAGAUGUAUCGGUCAUGAUCUGUUUGAUUGUUUUGAAAUCAGUUUUUGGGGGCAGGUGUCCAGAAACUUUAAGAAACUCUACUGAGCAGCUUACUGCAGAGUUCAAUAAAAAGAUCCAGUCCCUGACCUUUUAACACAUGUGCAAGGGGGCUCUUAUUAUGUGUCAGACACUGUGUGAGGUGUAAAGAUGAGUACGGCGUGAAGGGGGAGGCGGAGAAGUGUGGCGGGAUCAGGUGUGGCUGCCAGUGACCAGAACUUCAAAGUAAAAAUGCCUUGACAAGAUAGCAGUUUAUGUCCCUCUCAUGAGAAUAGAGUCCAGGGCUGGAACGGCACCUCCAUGAUCACUGUCAACUGCUGACUCCCCAAAUACUACCAGAAUAGCCUGCCAACGAACCAAAGCUAAGGUGAUGAAGCCAACUGCAGGAGGGGAGAGCAUGGCCUUGACCAGAGGCAGUCCGGAGACUCUCUUGGUGUGUCAUAAGGGGCAGGGCCAGGUGGGUAUUUCAGGGUUGCAGGGGUCUCAGCUCAAGGGUCCAAGGCAGGCCUCUCACGGCUGGGAUCUAAGAAGCACCGGGCCAAGUCUAUGAUGUAGUAGUUUAGGCCUGGUGGACACAAGGCUUGAAGCUUCAAAUCUUGAUGAGUGAACGGUUGUUUGAUAAACCAGCUGUUUGCCCCAGUGAGCCAUCUCUCAUCCUGAGAAGGAUCUUUUGUUAGAAGAAAUUAUUUUUCAUGAAUUUCCUGAAGCAAACAGUGAGGCUGUUUAUUGGUUUACAGUCGUAUCUUCCUGAACAAGAAUUUCCUAGACAAAUAGUAAGUCCUGUUGACACAGGAGGUCUUAGAUCUCAGUCUUGCUGGUUAAGCUGCAUGGAUGCGGGUGGUCUCACUUCUCAUCGUCAGGGACACAAGUUCCUCCCGCCUUGCUUCUUUGCCCUUGUCACACUGUAUCCUCCACCUCAGCCAGCAGUAGGAGGAAAAGGCCAAGAGGAUCCAAUGCCCUUCCUUGACCGACACUUCCCUGGGGGCUGAGUUUGUGCAUUCAGUGGUGUGUUGUGACAAGCAGAGCAAAGGCUGGGGCUGGGGGAACGGCAGUGCUCCCGCGGAGACAACGCUGCUGCCCUUGUGUUCAACAACAGAGCCUCUCUCUUCCUCAGACAGACUCUCUCUAAAGUCGCAUCAUGAGAGUAUUCUGGAACACCUUAGCCCCUAGCUUGACGAGCAUUUCUAUUAGUAAGCUCCUCAGCUGGCAUUGCCUCUCGUUUGAUGGAUGGAAGCCUUGACGGGUGCUGGGUGAAGGCCACUUAUCAGGCACCCUUGAGAUAGAGAGCAAGGAUUCCCAAGUCUUGGCUUCCACAGCAAGACACUCUGGUUCCUCAGAGCUGCUCAGCUGAGUGCCCACUGGGAACCUGAGUCUGAAGCUGCUGUCCUACGUGGCCACCUCUGUCUGAUGGUCAGGAUGUGAUAUCAACAGCCUGCUCACACCUGCCUGGGUGCUGACACUGGGGCCUGUUACAUCUUCCUCAACAGGAUUAACCUGAGCUGGAGACACUGUUACUGAUGCCUCCAGACACCUCUUCUCCAUUGCUCUUAGUGUGGUAUUAGGAGUCAUCCCACGGAAAGCAUGAGAAGUUGGUGACACCAAGAGGAUUGGGGGUGUGGAUUAAAGGGGAGAGUCAUUGCAGGAAAGACAGUGGGAGGCAAGUGACAGUCUUACUAAAAUUUCAGCCUGCAGGACCCAACCUUUCCCCCACGAUAGCAGAAGAAGCAGGAGAUGAGUCUGAAGGAUCCCUUUGAACAUUACUAAGAGUCAGCGUCAACUGAGUGUCUGGGCUGUGCCCAGAGAGGCCCGGUGGUACUUGCUUCUGAUUCUCUGGUGGCCCUACUCACCCUGGCAUUUGUGCUUUACACUUGGGUCAGUUAUAGGGACGUGUCAGGUCUCUAGAAACUGCUUUCUCAUUUGAUGGUAAAAGGGUAAAAGACAGCCUUGCCAGGCACGACAGAGUCUCCUGACAUGGGCCAUCUGGCAAAGUUUCCAGCCUGGAAAGGUACAGAAAAUGUAGGUUAUCCUACAGGCACAGUUUCCUAAUUGAGCCCAGGCAGGCAGCCAGUGACCUUCAGCUGAUACCAUUGCAUCAUUCCCAACCUGGGAAAACUUCGGGCCAAGAAGCCAGAUCUGCAAAAGUUAUCUGGCCUUAAAUACAUCUAAAACAUUUCAUUUCAAUCUGGAGAGGCGAAGCUCCCCGUAUCUUAAUUGGUUUCCCUGCCUAAAAGUCUUCCUUCUUCCAGGGCACUCUUCACGCUGCUGGCAGAAUUCUCUUCCAAAAUCACAAACUCACUCCUUCACUCAAGAACUACACUGAAGACAGAAUUCAAGUUUCCAAGCCUGUCACCCAAGGUCCUCUAUAAAUCUUGUCCCCAGCUUUCCUUUGUCCAAGAUGAUUUUAUUUCUAUCUUCACUUUAUAUGUUCAUUUAUUCAUUCCUUUGUUAAUUCAGCAGACAUUUAUUCAGCCCCUUAAUUUAUUCAGGCGCCAUAUUAAGCGUGGGUGUGUAGGAAGAGACAUCAUGUAAAAGAAGAUUUUCCUUCAAGUGAAAAUGCAGCCUGUUCAGUCUGUGGCCCUCCCUAAGCCUCUCCUUUCGCCUCUUCUUUUUCUAUAUGCCUUUGCACUUGGCAUCACCAUUACAAGACACACUGCCUUAAAUGAGAAGGUAGAAGAAUCAGGUCUGUCUCUCCCAUAGAGCUGUAAGUUGCUUGGGUCCUGGGACCGUAGCCGCUCAUUUCUUCUACCUUUCACAGUGUUUGGUAUUGUCCAGAACCCUGUUAAACACCGGCUGGGUUGAAGUGAUGAACCUUAGAUUAGGCCUUUAUGCUGAGUGCACUAACCACGUCUCCCCAUCCCAUGGACUGAGCCGAAGCAUCCUUGGGGGGUGAUGCUCUCACCCAACUCUGUCUCCUGUGUCACCAAGCUAGGACAUCAGACCCAGGGAAGCAGCCUCACUUAGGAGAAUUGCUGCAGUGUGCCCUGGGAAGCAUAGCACGGACCUGCUGAGGUUUAGGAUGACAAAGGAUGACCUAAGGCCUUUUAGCUUCCCGCUCGGAGAAAUAAAAAUAGCCAACCCAAUCAUACUUCUUUUUGGUUUGUUUGUUUCACAAAAUAUAGUCCUUGCUUCUCCUACCCUGAUGCAGCUGUGUGGCACUUUUGGAGGCCAGAUUGGGACUUAGGUUAGCAAGUCAGCAAUUUGUCUCCAGGCUGCUCCACUGUCGGUCACACAAGCUGGAGGUGGGGUUGGCCUCAUGGAAGUGAUGGAGCACUAACAAGGGACAGGCCAAAGGCCACCUAACAAGGGGGUGCUGAGUGAGGGAUAAGAAGCAAGGCACCCCAAAUCCGAUUAGAAAAGCAAUUUUCCCAAGGCUGAACAUGGAAGAGAAAGUCCUCCACCCUCAGGUCUGCGGGCAGAGACUGGAGGGCACAGGGAAGACACAGACAGGGGUCGCUGGAACCCAGAGCUCCCCCACUUUCUCCUUGACAUGGGUGAAAGAGAGGGCCAUGUCAGACCCCCAGAAUCUGCUGUCACCCCAAAUGCUUUUAACCGUGGGAGGAGUGUUUUGGUUCAAUUCCUUAUUUGGGGUGCAUCCUACAAUUCUGCCUCUAGAAUGUUCUGUGACCUCCCACUGAAGAUCACACAUCUGCUCAUUUCACACCUCACUGAAAAUUCUAUCUCCCAUCCCUUCCCACUCUGGCAGAGCCUGUGUGCCUGACAGAGCCAUCUCAGUAGCCCAGAGCAACUUUUAGGAUUUUUCUCCUCCACAGGAAAAAAAAAAAUUUUUUUUUUAACUGAAUGUUGAUGGGAUUUGGUGUCAGAAAAUGUAUAUCACAGGGUUGUUAAGCUGAGAUAAGAAAAUGUUUGUGAAAACACUUUGUAAAUGGUUAGGUUCUAUGUAAUACCUCCCACGGCCAGGCCUCCCACGGCUCUGCCUCCAGAAUGUUCUGUAAGCACAGGUUAUUAUUAUCCUGCCUACUCUUCUGGUUGGUUACCAGCAUCAUCCUCUAUUUAUUUAGAUAAGUCUUUUCGCAUCUUAAAUUUCCCCCAAACAGAGAAAUAGUAUGAAGAAUAUUGAUCAUAAGACAGGUCCUCACUUGAAUGGCUACAAGCACAGGCCCACUGAAAAAACAUGGGGGUCUUUCUUGGUAAACCAUCUUCUGUAAUGAGUAGCGUGAAGGGAUCACAGACUUAAAGGGGUCAGGGAACACACGCGGAGAUGGUCAUCUCGCUUAGUGGGCACAAUGGUCUCUGGCACCCUCCGAGUUCAGAAAGCUCACUCAACUCUAAAAGGCUGAAGUGGGAAUGAACAACAAACCCUCAAGGGCCCGUGCCUGCUAGCCCUGCCUCCCCUGGUGACCUCUGUCAGGUGCUGUGCUCUUGCCAAGGCACGACCCACUGCUGCCUCCGGGACAUUAGAGGGGCUUCUAGUGCUCCCCAGAAACGUGCACCCACACUGACGCUGAAUCAAGGACUGCCGACCUUCCGCCGUACCCCCGGGACGAGACGCACCUUUGAACUUUGCAAAAUGCAGAGAAGAGGCUUUACCACAGAGGCUCAGGAAGCACCCACGGCUGGCGUGUGAGUUUCCUGGGUAAGCUGCUGUAACAAAUUGUCACAAAUUGGGUGGUUUAAAACAACAGAAAUUUCUUCUCUCACAGUUCUGGAGGAAAACCUUCGUGUGGGCAGAGGCAUGCUCCCUCCUGGGCUCUAGGGCAAGAUCAUUCCUACCUCCUCCAGCUUCUGGGGCCCCCAGGCAUCCCUUGUCCUAGGGCUGGCUGCGUCUUCACCCUAGUCUCUGAGUGUCAGAACUCUGUCUCUUUUCUCUCUAAGGACACCAGUCAUUGGAUUUAGGGCCCUAAAUCUGCAAUGAUCUCCUCUCAUGAUCCUCAACUUAAUUACAUCUGCAAAGGCCUUAUUUCCAAAUAAGGGCGCGUGCACAGCUACCCGGGGUUAGGACUCGCAUGCAUCUCCUGGCAGGCCCGUUCAACCCUCUACCGUUGGUCAGAACGCGAAGUCCUGUUGGAGGGAAGGGCACGCUCCUGCUCGCUCUCCUCUCCUUGGCACCAACCGUUUCAGCCUGAAGUACAAAAGAAGCUGCCUGAAACCCACAGGGUGGGCCCCUAGGACCCCGAGGGCAUGCACCCUUGCCUGACCCCCCCAACCACUGUGGCCUCUAAGGAAAGUGAGGCCAAAGGAAGGACAAGGCAGGCCUAUUGUCCACUUCGUAGGCCCUGGGCUCUGAAAGAGCCUGAGAACAAAGACGUUGCUGUCCUUGGCAGCCAAGGGGCGGCCUCUGUGUGGGGGCGGGGUUUGUUCAACGUGUACCUAGAGAAGAGCUUGACUCUCGGGACAAGCUCAGGCUCGCAAAGGGCUUCUCUGGGGACCAGCCUCUUGGCAGCUCCGGGGAGACCUCCAGGAACCCCUGUGAUGCUGGCAACCUGAGCUUAUUCCACACCCAGCAAAACCAAGGCCAAAAGGACUGGUUGUUUAAUCCUUACAGAGAAGUCGGAACUGUGGACCCUAGUGACAGCACGUCUCUCCACAUAACUAAAUAUGGUGCUCUGAUUUAGUUACAGAUAAUAACAGCUCCUUGUUGCACACCAGUGUAUCAGGGCUGGCACUACGCACUCUACAUGUGUCAUCGCUGAUCCUCAUAAGAGCCUGUUUUACAGAUGGGGGCGCCAAGGUACACACGGCGUUGAGUAACCUGCAGGGCAGAGAAUCUGCACCUAACACUGUUUGACUCUAACGCUCAUGGUGGUGUUUCCAUUGUAUUAACUUCUCUCUGCUUAACUCGCAGUUUUUCCGCUUUUUGUUCUUUCUUUCAGUUCACCAUUUUCAAGGUUUGUAUGUCCAGGUGUCAUAGUGAAAAGUUCGUCAGUCAUCAGCACACAAGAUACGCGGAAUGCCCAGGCGGUGAACAGUCGAGGAGGCUGUGCGUCAACACCUGACGGAUGUAGGCGCCUGUGCAUCCUCAGACAUUCUGCUGAGCAGGCAAACGAAGAACAUACCUGGAAAAGGUAUUUCCAUAUGGCCGCUGUGUAGCAGUUGAAUUGGCUUGACUCAUAAAUUCUUUAAAUAGCAAGUGGCAAUUACCCAGAUGACCUUUUAAUGUUCCAUUAAUUCUUCCAUCCGUUCAUUGUUCUGAGAUUUAUAACAAUGGAACUCCUGAGUGCCUAGCACAUGACAUAAUGGAAGGAAGAGAACCCCGCAACUUUGAAAGCUGGGGAUUAAGUUCAGGUUUUGGAAUGCUGAAUGAAAUGAAAGGUAACCUUAACUUGGUGAAAAUAAUAGGAAGCGGUUUUUUUUUCUUUCUUUUUCUUUUCUUUUCUUUUUCCUUGAAUCCUCUUAUUCUUGUGUCGCAGCAGCAAAGACUGCUAGCUCAAUUUGGAUCUCAAUACAAAAGAAAGCUUAUUCUCUGAUGGAGGACAUUGAACACACUGUCAAUUUCUGCAUCUCUUGCUCUAAACAGUUAAGCAAUGUACAACAAACUGAAAGGCCCCCCUGGUUUACCCACAGCUGGUUCAAACUUGCUGAAAGGAAUGCUCUAUGGACUCAGGAACCCCCGAGGUGCCUCCAAGCGGCUUCUCUUACCCCCAUCCUCAGAUUUGCAAUGCUGGGAUCCGAGUCACCUUCAAGACCACUUCCUUCAUCUUGACCAAGCCCUUAAAUGUUUGAGAAGUCUGCAUCAAAUAAUGUCUGAUGAAAGCUGAACACUCUUCCCAGUGCUACGUCCGUGGUCUGGCUCGUGUGACCCACGUGAUAGACACACCUGAGGAAAUGCAUGUCCUGUGAUUGUCGGGUGGCACCAGUUUGGUUCCUGGUGUUUCCAGAGAUAAAACAAUAUCCUCAAGGAGAAACAGGACGGGGCUUUUGUUCCCAUUUAGGUCAUGAUUAUUUUCUAUUAGGAGCUGGACAGUUUCAUAAACAGAGGGACUUAUCGACACAGCUCCCGCCAAAGCCCUCAACUGUGCUUCUAACCACGACAAGGGGAAUUUAAAAUUUGUUUAAAUCAAUGUGAUUUGUAAGAUUAUAAAACAGUAUAUGCCAUAGUAGACUGUCUACACAGCAUCUAUUUCCCCACAUCUUCCUUCCCAAAGCCCCAAUUUUGUCCAGGCACCCGCCCUCCUCCACAGGCGAGGGGCUUCAGGGGAGGCUGGCCCCUGUCCCAGCUCCAACAGGUAGACCAGGCGAGUCUGGGGCAUCCCUUCUCCCAGGCCUGAUGUAGGAGUAGGCAUGUAACCCAGUUCUGACCAGUGAGACCCACGGGGAAGUCUGCCAGGGGUUUCUGGAAAGGUUUCCACACCGUGAAGAAGGAGACACCAAAAAAAGAAGGCUGUCAUUUCCGUGUCCGGACACUGCUGUGCCCUCUCUGAUUCUCGGGACUGCUACAGCUGUGCUGCGCAGACAAGGGGAACCAGCCUUUGAUGGGGGGGAUGCUGGGGACACAGAGAGGAGAGGUGGAAGAGGCAGAGAGGGUGUUUGGUGACAUUGCUGCCCCCACCUUACCUGGGGCCCUCCUCCUUCUGCUAGACGUCCAGUCACGUGAACUUGUCAGUGUCCUCAUUGUGCAAUCCAGUUUGAGGAAGUGUCUUCUGCUCUUUGUAGCUAAAAGCAACCCGAGAAACAUGUUUAAAUGCAGAAACGCAUAAGGAAGAAAAUAAAAAUCACCUAUAGUUCCAUCACCUAAUAGGAAUCACAAUUUAUGUGUUGUUGCUUUCCAUGUCUCUUAAACCACUGAUUUCGUGCUGCUAAUUGUGAUAUAUACUCACAUCAGUAGUACACUUGCUUUUUUUAAAAAAAUUCAAAUAGCGCAAUUGUUGAACGCAGAAAGUAAAGAGCUCCUGUAAUCCUCUCCCCGCGGUGAUGGACGCUUUGCAGUUGGUCAUCUGUUCUGGGAAUUCUCCCCACUCUAUCCGUGUUUUCUAAUGUAUGGGCUGCUCCUGACUGAUGAAUGCCCAUGUGACCUUUUAAGCCCAUACAUAGGUGAACUGUAGUGUGACUCAGACCAGCUGAACAUCUGGGCUCAGAGAGUGGGAAGCCAAGAGGGGUAAAAGGAAUGGGGAAAGGAUUUUCCACUCCCAUCUGCAAGCAGAGCUGGCCUGGGAAGAGUAACAAAGUGGAGAGAUCCUGGGCUCUGAGUGCAAAGGGUCUGGGUUCAAAUGCCUGAUUCACCGUUGAAGCCUGUGUGGCCUUGGGCAGGUCCCUUAACCAUUCUGAGCCUAUUUCCCCAUCUGUAAAAUGGAAAUAAUAAUGCCUAACAGACUUGUUAUACGGGUUAUAGGAAAUGCACAUGGUACGGCCUCAAUAAAUAGUAGCCAUUAUUCAGAAUAUUUGCCAACUUCUCAUAUCUUUUUCUAGACUCUUCUAUCACAUCCUGAACGUCUCCUUUCCCCACCCUCUGCUGUCUUCGAUCCACCUAUAUUAGCCGGGGGAUUCUUGGUUGCAGACAACAGGAUCCACUCCAGCUAGUUUAAGCCAAAGCGGAUUUUUGAAGGCAUAGAGAGCUCACAGAAUUAUCAGGAGGGCCGGAGAUGCAGGACCUAGGCUGGCUUCCAGGGACAACCGGCUUCCCGAGUCACACUGAAGAACUGGCUCCCCGAGGGAGCUGCCACCUCACCAGGAUUCGGAAGCUGCCAAGUCAGGAUGUUACUGCCUUGGCUCCUGUCUCCAGAACCGGGCUCCCUCUGCCACAAUCCAUGCCAACAAAACGAUGCCCUGUUCCCCGUCUCUAUCUCCAUGUCACAAAACCCUCACGGGAGAGGUCCCUCCCUAUACCCGGAGGAAAGGAGCAUCUGGAUCUCCGCAGACAAGGGAAGCUGAAGAAUCCUAACAAACAGGCCUCGCUCACUGGACCCACCUCACCGCUCCACCUCACGCUCUCUGACUUUUCAUAUUUUUCCACGACUGUCCACUCUUCGUCAAACCCAGCACAAAAAUACUCAGGAUUAACUGUUCUUCGGGUCUUCAUUUCCUCGUGAAGGCUCUCAUGUCAUGUAAAACUUAUAUUAAGUAAAUUUGUGUGUUUUUCUCCUGUUCAUCUCUCUUUGUCAAUUUAAUUUUCAUACCCAGCCCGGGCCCCUAAGAAGGUUGAGGAAAACUUUUUCCUUCCCUAAGCUUGUCAACUUGCAUCUCCAGUUGAUGAAAUCUCUGGCAGUAUAAGAAAUGAGCUGGAAUUGUUUUCAGGUCAAUAAAGGAAAAUCUUGCUAGUAAGGACGAAUGCAGCCUGAGGGUCAGGGCAGCCUGGAAAAGUCCCUGGAUUCCUGAAUUGUCCCUGCUCUUCUAAACUGCCGCCUUGUCUCCAGCACGGGAUCAGAACCUAUCUGUACAGGCUCUAAUCUUUCUAAUAGUCACAGCCUUUGCCCCCAGAGUGAGGGGAGCCAGCAGGUGUGAGCACAGGUUGGUGUAUGUAAUCCAGGGACGACACACACAACAGAAAUAUGUCCUGCUGGAGUGUCCUUUGAGACACACCAGAUCGCAGCCUCUGCUUACGGACGAAGAAGCUAUUAAUUACCUGCGACUCUAGAUGAUAUUUUGUAUUCACUCAGCAUAAAUGAUUUCGUCGAAUACUUACUCUUUUAUCCUGCAGGUGGAUAAAAGAAAUGUUGCUUCUUGUCCUGCCAGAGAGCUGGCAUCCUUCACAACCCAGUCUGCUCUCUCACAAGGAUAUCAGCUUCCUAAUGAGGUUCCCCCCAGCUAAUGCCCUGAUUUGAGCCUCAUCCUUUCAAUUUCUGAAAGCAGCAGGUAUUUGUUCCAGGGUAGGACAGGAGCCUGGAAUUCAUCCAUCACCCCUAAGGAAAAGCGGCCUAUGAUCUUCUAGACUGCAUUUUCCUUCUCCCAUCGCUGCACGCAGAGGUUCAUUUUCCUAGAUGUUAAGCCAGCUCUUGGGACCCUGCUCAGGAAGACAGCAAAGCCAGGGCUGCCUUCAUCUUGCUGAAGAUGGUGGGAUGGUUACUGGAAGGUACUAGUUAUUUCUUUCCCAUUCUAAGCCUCCUGGGAUUACCUUGCCAGUUAAAGCCGGUGCUCCCUGCAUAAUAAGAUAGGAAUGUUGUACAGAGGAGAUGCUAAUGGCAGCUAAAUAUAGAUGCAAGCUUCUGGGUACACCACUUGCGUGCAUGCCUGCACACCCAUUAGAACAAUUACGGGAAGGAAGCUUUCACGCUGCAUAAUUACAACCUUGACUCCUCUGGCUGGGGCCAGGCCUCUCCUUAGGUUAAAUGGCAUUCCUGGACUGGCAGCUGGAAAGGCUCUGUCGUUUGUUACCUUUGGACUUGGUAGUGCCCAGGAUUAUAUGACAUAAUUCUGAGUCUAUUGUCUCUCAGAAUGCGUGAGGCUCAAAGGACAGACCUACCUGGGUGGAGAUUGAUAGGCCUCAUGAAUGAGUCACAUUUCUUCCCUCCUCCAUCCUUAUUAGGGUGACAUUCCAGUUGGCCACAGGCAGUCUCGGUUUAUGCCUAUUGACUCAAGGAAAUUAUUGGUAAUGCCCCUUUCACUCUCAAAAUGACCUGUUUGCGUGAUAAAUUUUAAGAUUACAGAUUUGUAAUCUUCAAGGAGAAGGAGGGAGGCAAAGACUCUUCCUAGGCGUGGUCCCUCUGAGAACCUGCCUGGGCAAGUGGGCUUUAGGCUGAAGAAAGAAUGGGAAGAAGGAGCUUUUCCAAGCUCUUCUUCUUCUUCUUCUUUUUUUUUGCUGAGGAAGAUUAGCCCCAAGCUAACAUCUGUUGCCAAUCUUCCUCUUUUUUUGCUUGAGGAAGAUUGACAUCUGUGCUAAUCUUCCUCCACUUUAUAUGUGGGUUGCCACCUCAGCACGGUGUAGGUCCAUGUCUGGGAUCCGAACCCGUGAACCUGGGCCACUGAAGUGGAAUGCGCCAAACAUAAGCACUAAGCCAUGGGGCCAGCCCCUCCAAACUCUUCUAAAGAGCUGUCUGCGGCACCCAUCCUCAAUGACUCUGAGCAGCACACACCCCCAGAUGCUGGGGCACUGGGGGGACCAACCCAAGCCAGGUGGACCUGACGGCGGCAUAUUCAGUACUCCCCAAGUGGAAAAAUCAAAUUAUUCCCAGAAUCCAGUUGACCCUGGGGCUGACCAAGAUGAAAUGUUUCCCUUGCUGCUGGCCUCCAAGCCUUAGGCCUUUUGGUCAUAGGUUCAAGAGGACGUCAGCGCCAGGCUUGUGCAGCGGUGCUGGCCAUCUGUCAGGCCAGCGCUGUUUUCUAGAGUCUUCUCACCGUGCUGGGGCUUUCGAGGCCCAUUGUAAAAGGCCGAAUCAUUCCGCCAUUCUACACAGAUCUCACCUAGAGGGAUGAGAACGAAGAGGGAAGGACUGGACUGGACAAGAGUCUUAAGAGUCUCAAAGAUCUGAUGCCCCCAAGCUAACCCUUUUCCCCCCAACUCCGUUGUGACGAAGGACUUUCUAAUCCCUCAGCCCUGCUGAAUUUUCUUCCUGCAGAAGGCCAAGGCCAAUAGUGUUCUUGAGCAAUUUGUUGGUGACAGGCCAACUCCACGGGGAAAAUUCUCAGCUAGGGCUUGAUCUGUGAAGCUGCUCUAUAAUUCAUCAGCUCUGUCUAAAAGCUGUAGAACUCAUCGAUCACCAUUAGGCUGUCAAAACACUCAUUCAGCUGGUGAGAAUAGCUUAUUAGAGCUUUUAAAAAUACCAGUCUUUCGCAAAGAUGUUGGUUGAGUUUCUGCAUGCACCCAGAAAGUACCCUUGCAUACAGAUGACUUCAGCAGCAUUUACUUCAAAGAAGAGGGAAAGACUGGAAACUGUUGGGUGGAUGGCAUUCAACAGACCCAGAGAGAACCAGUUAUAGCAAAUGAAAAGGAUGCUUUAAGAUUUAAUUUUGUAAAGAUGGGGUGCUGGCUUGGAAUCACAGUCUAAAAAUUCCUCCUACCCACAGCCCAGCCCCCACUUACAUCCACAGCAUUCCAAGAAGAGGGAUGAAUUCCAGUCAGCUACCGAUUAUCCUGCCAGGUGGCCCCUCCGAGGGAUGGGAGGAGGUUCCGGAAAAGUCUGUGGAAUUCCAAGAUUGUUUGAAAAUGCUCUUACUGAUAAAAAUGUCCCUUCGAAUUCUGAACCCCAAACCCCGACUUCUAAGCAAAUUUAUGCCCGUGCUAGUUCUGAGAGUUGUAAAGCACAGUAUGAAGACAGUGAUAAAAAUACAAGAUUUUGGUUUUACUAAGACCCAAGAGCCAAGGGCUAAAAACCAGGUCCAUCAUGCUGCUGUCUUGUGGCCUCGCUGUCCCAGGAACACGUGCCCCUCUCCUGUCGCCCUCUCCAGAACUUAAACCUCUUCCCCUGGGACGUCUUUUUUCUCCAUCUCUGCCCUCCGAAGUCCUGCCCCAUCCCUCACGGCUCAGUUCCUCUGAGUAACACCCAGAUGCAAGGUCAGAAUGAAUUCCUCCUUCCUCUGGGUUCCGGGUUGGUUUUGCUCAUCCCUUUAUUACUGCUCUCCUAAGAUUCUGCCUUUUAUAGCGAUCCCUCAGGCACACCAAUUUCCUGCAGUGGAGAGAGCCGGAAAAAUGCAUCUUACAGCCAUGCGCAUUUUUGUAGGGUUUAAAAAUAUGUAAGAGUCGAGACUUUUCAGCCCUUUCUUUUCAUUUUCUUUACCACACAAUGAACUGACUUCAAAACAGGCCUGAUCAAGAGAAUUUUAAAUAUAAGUGUUCUUGCUUUAUUCUGCCAAGUGCUCUUAAGGUACUUGGAAAACGUCUCCCAUGACCUCUCCCGGCACUGAUUUCGUUCCUUUUCACUUAGGAAACAGUGAUUUGUUUUCUGGGUUUGAAAGCGAGAGAACAUGCUGUUUUGGUUGCAACAACUCACAGGGUAGUCCGAGCUGAAAAUGGCCCUUUUCUUGGAGGUGAGCAGCCUCUGCAAAGGGCUGUGGCCACUUCGCCAAGAACAAGGGUCCGAUGCCCAAAAGGGCCUGAAACAAGUGGAGUCAUUGAUGGAAACCCCUGGCCCAAACUUAGCUGCCAAACCAGAGGACUUGGAGCUCUGAACAAAUCCCGCAGCUGCAGACGGGCCCUGCCGAGGUUCCC